rnacentral:lncRNA from 1 species
UAGUUGAGCUAAAAUACUAUCGGUAGCAAAUGGACUCCGUUGUCACCCAUUUGUUUUCGAUAAUGGAGCCUCAAAAUCAACGAUCGGCACCAUUGAACAUGAUCAAUACCACUUGAAGUGUUUAGAAAUCAAAUUUCAUACAUUUUCGAUAUUAUUCUCUUAUCCAUCGAGUGGACAAAAAAAUGAACAGCUGAAAAUGAAUAUUCUUUAAAAAUAAUGAUAGGAGUCUUGUAAUCAAGAUCAAGAGUAUAAAUCUUAUUUUAAAUAGUUUAAAGAAUUUUCUAACAAAAAUUCAAUUGAUUUGGAUAUCUUUACGCCGUUAAACGAAAAAACGCCUCAUAUCGACCAUUAAAAUUACAAAUUUUAAAACCCUUUGAUCUUUAGACAAAUGAUGUCAAAAAGAUUUGAAAUUUGAUUUCUAAACACUUCAAGUGGUAUAGAUCAUGUUCAACGGUGCCAAUCGUCGAUUUGGAGGCUCUAUCAUCAAAAACAAAUGGGUGGCAACGAAGCCCAUUUGUUAUUAAUAGUAUUCUAGCUCAACUCUCUCUCUCUCUCUCUCUCUCUCUCUAUAUAUAGAGAGAGAGAGAGUACGUCUCCUGUGCUUUCGAAAGUACAGAGGCUUCCAUACUUAUAAAUUAUUUUUGAUGAUGGGACGUUCGAUUCGAUGAUCAGCUCCCUUAAACAUGAUCUACACUAUUAGAACUAUUUAGAAACCAAAUUUCAUAAUUUUUUCACAUCAUUUAUCAAGUGAUCAAAUGGGUCAAAAAUGACUAAUUUAAUGGCCGAUGUGGCAUGUUUGUAAGUUCAACGAUGUAGAAGAUUCUAAAUUACAUAGAACUUAAUAAAAAAAUUCUACUUAACAGCGAGAGCGAGAACAAUGCUUUCGAUUUUUAUUUUCAGUCGUUAAUUUUGAGGCUAGUCCUUUACUAGACAAAUGAAGUCAAAAAAUUAUGAAAUUUAGUUUCUAAAUAAUUCUAAUAGUGUAUAUCAUGUCUAACGGAGCCGAUCGUCAAAUUAAAUACUCCAUCAUCAAAAAGAACAUAUAAUCACGAAGACCUACGUACUUUUGAAAUCGUAGGAACCUAACUAUAUAUGCAUAGAGAGAGAGAGAGAGAGAGAGUCCGACUGAUAUACUAUCGGUAGCACGGAGGUUUCCGUACAACCAAGUUAUUUUUAAUGAUACAACUUUCCAAUUGACGUUCUGCUUCGUUAAACUUGAUCUAUACUAUUCAAAGUAUUUGAAAAUUAAAUUUCAUAAUUUUUCGAUAUUAUUUAUCUACCAAACGAGUAGUCUAAAAAUGAACGGCUGAAAACAAAAAUAUUAUAAAAAAUAAUGAUAAAAGACUUGAAUUUAAGAUCAGAGGUACUAAUCUUACUCUAAGUAGUAAAAAAAAAUUUCUAUAAAAAUUUCAUCAGAUUUAAAUUAUUUUACGCCAUUAAAUUUAUAAACGGACAACAUCAGUCAUUAAAAUUGUUAAUUUUGAGACCUUUUGAUCACUAGCCAAAUAUUAUCGAAAAAUUAUGAAAUUUAGUUUCAAAUACUUUCAAUAGUGUAGAUCAAGUUUAACGGAGCCGAUCGUCGAUUUGAAAAUCACAUUAUUAAAAAAAACUUGAUAGCACGGAGGCUUUCGUGCUACCGAUAGUAUAUCA